CCUACGGGAGGCAGCAGUAGGGAAUCUUCCACAAUGGACGCAAGUCUGAUGGAGCAACGCCGCGUGAGUGAAGAAGGUUUUCGGAUCGUAAAGCUCUGUUGUUGGUGAAGAAAGAUAGUGAGAGUAACUGCUCAUUAUUUGCCGGUAAUCAACCAGAAAGUCACGGCUAAUGUUCACAGCAGCCGCGGUAAU
rnacentral:rRNA from 1 species